rnacentral:rRNA from 1 species
AGAGUUUGAUCCUGGCUCAGAACGAACGCUGGCGGCGUGGAUAAGACAUGCAAGUCGAACGAGAGAAUUGCUAGCUUGCUAAUAAUUCUCUAGUGGCGCACGGGUGAGUAACACGUGAGUAACCUGCCCCCGAGAGCGGGAUAGCCCUGGGAAACUGGGAUUAAUACCGCAUAGUAUCGAAAGAUUAAAGCAGCAAUGCGCUUGGGGAUGGGCUCGCGGCCUAUUAGUUAGUUGGUGAGGUAACGGCUCACCAAGGCGAUGACGGGUAGCCGGUCUGAGAGGAUGUCCGGCCACACUGGAACUGAGACACGGUCCAGACACCUACGGGUGGCAGCAGUCGAGAACCAUUCACAAUGGGGGAAACCCUGAUGGUGCGACGCCGCGUGGGGGAAUGAAGGUCUUCGGAUUGUAAACCCCUGUCAUGUGGGAGCAAAUUAAAAAGAUAGUACCACAAGAGGAAGAGACGGCUAACUCUGUGCCAGCAGCCGCGGUAAUACAGAGGUCUCAAGCGUUGUUCGGAAUCACUGGGCGUAAAGCGUGCGUAGGCUGUUUCGUAAGUCGUGUGUGAAAGGCGCGGGCUCAACCCGCGGACGGCACAUGAUACUGCGAGACUAGAGUAAUGGAGGGGGAACCGGAAUUCUCGGUGUAGCAGUGAAAUGCGUAGAUAUCGAGAGGAACACUCGUGGCGAAGGCGGGUUCCUGGACAUUAACUGACGCUGAGGCACGAAGGCCAGGGGAGCGAAAGGGAUUAGAUACCCCUGUAGUCCUGGCAGUAAACGGUGCACACUUGGUGUGCGGGGAAUCGACCCCCUGCGUGCCGGAGCUAACGCGUUAAGCGUGCCGCCUGGGGAGUACGGUCGCAAGAUUAAAACUCAAAGAAAUUGACGGGGACCCGCACAAGCGGUGGAGUAUGUGGCUUAAUUCGAUGCAACGCGAAGAACCUUACCUGGGCUUGACAUGUAAUGAACAACAUGUGAAAGCAUGCGACUCUUCGGAGGCGUUACACAGGUGCUGCAUGGCCGUCGUCAGCUCGUGUCGUGAGAUGUUUGGUUAAGUCCAGCAACGAGCGCAACCCCUGUUGCCAGUUACCAGCACGUGAAGGUGGGGACUCUGGCGAGACUGCCCAGAUCAACUGGGAGGAAGGUGGGGACGACGUCAGGUCAGUAUGGCCCUUAUGCCCAGGGCUGCACACGUACUACAAUGCCCAGUACAGAGGGGGCCGAAGCCGCGAGGCGGAGGAAAUCCUAAAAACUGGGCCCAGUUCGGACUGUAGGCUGCAACCCGCCUACACGAAGCCGGAAUCGCUAGUAAUGGCGCAUCAGCUACGGCGCCGUGAAUACGUUCCCGGGUCUUGCACUCACCGCCCGUCA